rnacentral:rRNA from 1 species
UGGGGAAUUUUGGACAAUGGGCGAAAGCCUGAUCCAGCAAUGCCGCGUGUGUGAAGAAGGCCUUCGGGUUGUAAAGCACUUUUGUCCGGAAAGAAAUCCUUGGCUCUAAUACAGUCGGGGGAUGACGGUACCCGAAGAAUAAGCACCGGCUAACUACGUGCCAGCAGCCGCGGUAAUACGUAGGGUGCAAGCGUUAAUCGGAAUUACUGGGCGUAAAGCGUGCGCAGGCGGUUUGCUAAGACCGAUGUGAAAUCCCCGGGCUCAACCUGGGAACUGCAUUGGUGACUGGCAGGCUAGAGUAUGGCAGAGGGGGGUAGAAUUCCACGUGUAGCAGUGAAAUGCGUAGAGAUGUGGAGGAAUACCGAUGGCGAAGGCAGCCCCCUGGGCCAAUGCUGACGCUCAUGCACGAAAGGCGUGGGGAGCAAACAGGAUUAGAUACCCUGGUAGUCCACGCCCUAAACGAUGUCAACUAGUUGUUGGGGAUUCAUUUCCUUAGUACGUAGCUAACGCGUGAAGUUGACCGCCUGGGGAGUACGGUCGCAAGAUU